rnacentral:rRNA from 1 species
GAUGAACGCUGGCGGCGUGCCUAAUACAUGCAAGUCGAACGGAGAUUGUAGCAAUACAUUCUUAGUGGCGAACGGGUGAGUAAUGCAUCGGAACGUGCCCAGUCGUGGGGGAUAACGCAGCGAAAGCUGUGCUAAUACCGCAUACGAUCUACGGAUGAAAGCGGGGGACUCAGCAAUGAGCCUCGCGCGAUUGGAGCGGCCGAUGUCAGAUUAGGUAGUUGGUGGGAUAAAAGCUCACCAAGCCAACGAUCUGUAGCUGGUCUGAGAGGACGACCAGCCACACUGGGACUGAGACACGGCCCAGACUCCUACGGGAGGCAGCAGUGGGGAAUUUUGGACAAUGGGCGCAAGCCUGAUCCAGCAAUGCCGCGUGCAGGAAGAAGCCUCGGUUGUAACUAGUCUUUGUACGGAACGAACGGUACGUGGUUAACUACCGUCGGCUAUAGACGGUACCGUAAGAAUAAGACACCGCUAACUACGUACGCACG